CAGGAAAUCUCCAACCAUAGUGGGCUUGGAGCUGUGAGGGAAUUCGGAGUGGCCACCCGUUCUGAAAGUUUGAUUUUCUUCUGGCCUCCGUUGCUAUGUCGUUGCCGCCGUGUCGUCUGCCGUGCCUGCCCCCGUACACGGUGGCCGGAGAUCACCAAAAGUGCAGCUUGGGCGGUGGAUUUGACUUGUCAGUGGAAGCAGAGGCGGUGGCCAGGCAAGUGGCUCUAGGGGCAGCGGCCUAGGGUGAAAAGUCUAGGGUUUUCUUUUUCUUCUUAUAUCACCGAUUGGCCAGAGAUGAAACAAGAGCUGAGAAAGAUGUUUUUGCGGUUUUGGGUUAGUGGGUUUGUGGGUCUGUUGGGUUUAUGGGUAAGUUAUUUGUUUAGUUUGGGCUUUUGUUAGGUUUAGUGGGUUGUUGGUUUUGUUUAUUGGGUUAGGGGAUUUUGGGAUUGGGCUAGGUUAAAAUUUGGGCCUGUACAGCUGCCCCUCUUUGCUUGUUGUCGUGUAACGAGAAUGGAGCAAAGACUCGGAAAGGGGCCAAAUUUGCCUGGUUUCACCGGGUCUCGACUUUUUUGGUGUCCAUCUUUUUCAAAUAUCUUCAAUGUGUUCCACUGCAA